rnacentral:rRNA from 1 species
CCUACGGGAGACAGCAGUGAGGAAUAUUGGUCAAUGGACGAGAGUCUGAACCAGCCAAGUAGCGUGAAGGAUGACUGCUCUAUGGGUUGUAAACUUCUUUUAUAAAGGAAUAAAACGAGGCACGUGUGCCUUUUUGCAUGUACUUUAUGAAUAAGGAACGGCUAACUCCGUGCCAGCAGCCGCGGUAAUACGGAGGAUCCGAGCGUUAUCCGGAUUUAUUGGGUUUAAAGGGAGCGUAGAUGGGUUGUUAAGUCAGUUGUGAAAGUUUGCGGCUCAACCGUAAAAUUGCAAUUGAUACUGGCAGACUUGAGUACAGUUGAGGUAAGCGGAAUUCGUGGUGUAGCGGUGAAAUGCUUAGAUAUCACGAAGAACCCCGAUUGCGAAGGCAGCUUACUAAACUGUGACUGACAUUGAUGCUCGAAAGUGUGGGUAUCAAACAGGAUUAGAUACCCGAGUAGUC